rnacentral:tRNA from 1 species
GAUGAUUUGAUGAGGUAGUUUAUAGCUGAUUUGCAAUUAGUUUUCAUGGUGAUACCAUACUAUUGU